AACGAACGCUGGCGGCAUGCCUAACACAUGCAAGUCGAACGAGACCUUCGGGUCUAGUGGCGCACGGGUGCGGGACGCGUGGGAACCUGCCCGUAGGUUCGGAAUAACUCCCCGAAAGGGGUGCUAAUACCGGAUAAUGUCUUCGGACCAAAGAUUUAUCGCCUUUGGAUGGGCCCGCGUUGGAUUAGCUAGUUGGUAGGGUAAAAGCCUACCAAGGCGACGAUCCAUAGCUGGUCUGAGAGGAUGAUCAGCCACACUGGGACUGAGACACGGCCCAGACUCCUACGGGAGGCAGCAGUAGGGAACAUUGGACGAUGGGCGAAAGCCUGAUCCAGCCAUGCCGCGUGAGUGAUGAAGGGCUUAGGGUUGUAAAGCUCUUUUACCCGGGAUGAUAAUGACAGUAACGGGUGAAUAAGCACCGGCUAACUCCGUG
rnacentral:rRNA from 1 species